rnacentral:rRNA from 1 species
AUACGGAGGGUCCAAGCGUUAUCCGGAAUCAUUGGGUUUAAAGGGUGCGCAGGCGGUUUAAUAAGUCAGUGGUGAAAUCUCGGAGCUCAACUCCGAAACUGCCAUUGAUACUGUUAAACUUGAGUUCAGUUGGAGUAGGCGGAAUGUGUAGUGUAGCGGUGAAAUGCUUAGAUAUUACACAGAACACCGAUAGCGAAGGCAGCUUACUAAACUGAUACUGACGCUGAGGCACGAAAGCGUGGGGAGCGAACAGGAUUAGAAACCCCAGUAGUCC